rnacentral:rRNA from 1 species
UACGUAGGGGGCGAGCGUUGUCCGGAUUUAUUGGGCGUAAAGAGCGUGUAGGCGGUUCGGUAAGUCUGUCGUGAAAUCCUGAGGCUCAACCUCGGGCGUGCGAUGGAUACUGCCGGGCUAGAGUCCGGAAGAGGCGAGUGGAACUCCUGGUGUAGCGGUGGAAUGCGCAGAUAUCAGGAAGAACACCAACGGCGAAGGCAGCUCGCUGGGACGGUACUGACGCUGAGACGCGAAAAGCGUGGGGGAGCGAACAGG